rnacentral:snRNA from 1 species
AGCUUUGUGCAGGGGCAGUAUCGUAGCCAAUGAGGUUUAUUCGAGGCGCGAUUAUUGCUAAUUGAAGACAGAGCUUGAAUAUUCCUUUCUGCUCAAGAUGAAGAGCUCAAACUUGGCUCAACUCUGCCCCAUAGAAUGGAACCUUGAAUUUCUUUUCUAUCCACCUGACCCUCAGAGUGGCAGGGGU